UCAAGUGAAGAAGCGCAUACGGUGGAUGCCUUGGCAGUCAGAGGCGAUGAAAGACGUGGUAGCCUGCGAAAAGCUUCGGGGAGUCGGCAAACAGACUUUGAUCCGGAGAUCUCUGAAUGGGGGAACCCACCUAGGAUAACCUAGGUAUCUUGUACUGAAUCCAUAGGUGCAAGAGGCGAACCAGGGGAACUGAAACAUCUAAGUACCCUGAGGAAAAGAAAUCAACCGAGAUUCCCUUAGUAGUGGCGAGCGAACGGGGAUUAGCCCUUAAGCUUCAUUGAUUUUAGCGGAACGCUCUGGAAAGUGCGGCCAUAGUGGGUGAUAGCCCCGUACGCGAAAGGAUCUUUGAAGUGAAAUCGAGUAGGACGGAGCACGAGAAACUUUGUCUGAACAUGGGGGGACCAUCCUCCAAGGCUAAAUACUACUGACUGACCGAUAGUGAACCAGUACCGUGAGGGAAAGGCGAAAAGAACCCCGGAGAGGGGAGUGAAAUAGAACCUGAAACCGUAUGCGUACAAGCAGUGGGAGCCUACUUGUUAGGUGACUGCGUACCUUUUGUAUAAUGGGUCAGCGACUUAUAUUCAGUGGCAAGCUUAACCGUAUAGGGUAGGCGUAGCGAAAGCGAGUCUUAAUAGGGCGUUUAGUCGCUGGGUAUAGACCCGAAACCGGGCGAUCUAUCCAUGAGCAGGUUGAAGGUUAGGUAACACUGACUGGAGGACCGAACCCACUCCCGUUGAAAAGGUAGGGGAUGACUUGUGGAUCGGAGUGAAAGGCUAAUCAAGCUCGGAGAUAGCUGGUUCUCCUCGAAAGCUAUUUAGGUAGCGCCUCAUGUAUCACUCUGGGGGGUAGAGCACUGUUUCGGCUAGGGGGUCAUCCCGACUUACCAAACCGAUGCAAACUCCGAAUACCCAGAAGUGCCGAGCAUGGGAGACACACGGCGGGUGCUAACGUCCGUCGUGAAAAGGGAAACAACCCAGACCGCCAGCUAAGGUCCCAAAGUUGUGGUUAAGUGGUAAACGAUGUGGGAAGGCUUAGACAGCUAGGAGGUUGGCUUAGAAGCAGCCAUCCUUUAAAGAAAGCGUAAUAGCUCACUAGUCGAGUCGGCCUGCGCGGAAGAUGUAACGGGGCUCAAACCACACACCGAAGCUGCGGGUGUCACGUAAGUGACGCGGUAGAGGAGCGUUCUGUAAGCCUGUGAAGGUGAGUUGAGAAGCUUGCUGGAGGUAUCAGAAGUGCGAAUGCUGACAUGAGUAACGACAAUGGGUGUGAAAAAAACACCCACGCCGAAAGACCAAGGGUUCCUGCGCAACGUUAAUCGACGCAGGGUUAGUCGGUUCCUAAGGCGAGGCUGAAAAGCGUAGUCGAUGGGAAACAGGUUAAUAUUCCUGUACUUCUGGUUACUGCGAUGGAGGGACGGAGAAGGCUAGGCCAGCUUGGCGUUGGUUGUCCAAGUUUAAGGUGGUAGGCUGAAAUCUUAGGUAAAUCCGGGGUUUCAAGGCCGAGAGCUGAUGACGAGUCGUCUUUUAGAUGACGAAGUGGUUGAUGCCAUGCUUCCAAGAAAAGCUUCUAAGCUUCAGGUAACCAGGAACCGUACCCCAAACCGACACAGGUGGUCGGGUAGAGAAUACCAAGGCGCUUGAGAGAACUCGGGUGAAGGAACUAGGCAAAAUGGCACCGUAACUUCGGGAGAAGGUGCGCCGGCUAGGGUGAAGGAUUUACUCCGUAAGCUCUGGCUGGUCGAAGAUACCAGGCCGCUGCGACUGUUUAUUAAAAACACAGCACUCUGCAAACACGAAAGUGGACGUAUAGGGUGUGACGCCUGCCCGGUGCCGGAAGGUUAAUUGAUGGGGUUAGCGCAAGCGAAGCUCUUGAUCGAAGCCCCGGUAAACGGCGGCCGUAACUAUAACGGUCCUAAGGUAGCGAAAUUCCUUGUCGGGUAAGUUCCGACCUGCACGAAUGGCGUAACGAUGGCGGCGCUGUCUCCACCCGAGACUCAGUGAAAUUGAAAUCGCUGUGAAGAUGCAGUGUAUCCGCGGCUAGACGGGAAGACCCCGUGAACCUUUACUGUAGCUUUGCACUGGACUUUGAGCCUGCUUGUGUAGGAUAGGUGGGAGGCUUUGAAGCGUGGACGCCAGUUCGCGUGGAGCCAUCCUUGAAAUACCACCCUGGCAUGCUUGAGGUUCUAACUCUGGUCCGUGAUCCGGAUCGAGGACAGUGUAUGGUGGGCAGUUUGACUGGGGCGGUCUCCUCCUAAAGAGUAACGGAGGAGUACGAAGGUGCGCUCAGACCGGUCGGAAAUCGGUCGCAGAGUAUAAAGGCAAAAGCGCGCUUGACUGCGAGACAGACACGUCGAGCAGGUACGAAAGUAGGUCUUAGUGAUCCGGUGGUUCUGUAUGGAAGGGCCAUCGCUCAACGGAUAAAAGGUACUCCGGGGAUAACAGGCUGAUACCGCCCAAGAGUUCAUAUCGACGGCGGUGUUUGGCACCUCGAUGUCGGCUCAUCACAUCCUGGGGCUGAAGCCGGUCCCAAGGGUAUGGCUGUUCGCCAUUUAAAGUGGUACGCGAGCUGGGUUUAGAACGUCGUGAGACAGUUCGGUCCCUAUCUGCCGUGGACGUUUGAGAUUUGAGAGGGGCUGCUCCUGUACGAGAGGACCGGAGUGGACGAACCUCUGGUGUUCCGGUUGUCACGCCAGUGGCAUUGCCGGGUAGCUAUGUUCGGAAAAGAUAACCGCUGAAAGCAUCUAAGCGGGAAACUUGCCUCAAGAUGAGAUCUCACUGGGAACUUGAUUCCCCUGAAGGGCCGUCGAAGACUACGACGUUGAUAGGCUGGGGUGUAAGCGUUGUGAGGCGUUGAGCUAACCAGUACUAAUUGCCCGUGAGGCUUGACCA
rnacentral:rRNA from 1 species